UACGGGGGGGGCGAGCGUUGUCCGAAGUUACUGGGCGUAAAGCGCGUGUAGGCGGGUUGUUAAGUCCGCUGUGAAAGCCCGGUGCUCAACGCCGGAGGGUCGGUGGAUACUGGCAGUCUUGAAGUGGCUAGGGGGAAAUGGAAUUACCGGUGUAGCGGUGAAAUGCGUAGAUAUCGGUAGGAACACCAGUGGCGAAGGCGGUUUCCUGGAGCUAACUUGACGCUGAGACGCGAAAGCUGGGGGAGCAAACGGGG
rnacentral:rRNA from 1 species